GAAGUGGGAUGGCAGUGUCAUGGCGACAUGGAGUAGACGAUGACCAGUGACUGUUACCGCCAGGAAACCUAACUACUGUGUUUUCCCCUCCCCAGGACAGGAGCCUGUAGGGACUAACCUUCCUUUAGGAAGGCUAUGGCGAGGCAGACUGGCUUGCGGUCCAGGGGCGGGAAGAUGGAGGCCUAGCCCUGUGAGGAUCCUAUGGCACAAGAUUGGUGGGUGGCUAGAUUCCUGGGUGGGAUCCAAGGGCCUCAUAGAAGCCACCUGGAGCUACUGGGGGCAAAAGGCGAUGCUCCUGGUACUGGAGUCUGGGCUUCACAUGCUUUAUUCUACGUGGGUGGGUCCUACUCUCAUCUGUUUAUAUUUUAAGGUUCUUGGACAAGGAAAGAUAAAGUACUCCUUGAGUUCUCUGGGGUCUCUAGACCUCAGGCUCUUCUAGACUCAGGUGAGGUCUCAUGCACAUCAACAAAGUUGGUUCCCUCUGAAAAGCAAGCUUGGGAGGCCAGGGAUUUUACGGCCCACUUGCCUUUCUUCUCGGGCCCUUCACUGGGUACCACUCUACAUACCUGUUAAGUGGAGUCAUAGGGAGAGCAUUUUGCUUGUUCCUGUGCCCCAAUCUUCCAGAGACAGAGGUCUGCGGGCCUUGUCUCUGACCUUCUUAACCACUUCCUGGCCCAGGAAGGGGACCAGCUGAAAGCACAGCUGUUGGGAAGGAGGCCUGUGAUUGGCUUUCCUUCCACUAUGUGGCCUACAGCUGCACCUUAUUGGGACAGGCAGAACCAAAGAGCAGAGGGUGGAGAGGAAGGUAAGAAUGGUUGAUUUGGGGGACCAGAAGAAGUGGAAAAUAGAGAGCAAGUGUCCUCCUGCCACUGUGGAAGAAAGCAAGGGGAGCCCAUGGUUAUGAAUGAACAAACGAACGAACGAACGAAUGAAUGAAUGUUUCAUUGUGCUUCUUUGGUCCACACCAACCUCCUGGGAUGGUACCCGUGGUUCCUUUGCAUUAAAAAUCUGUGCUGCACAGUACCAGACAUAACCAAAGAGCCUGGAUUUCAAACACGGUAUAGGAGGAAAAUGACAUAAAAUAUUACAGUAAUUUAAAUUAAGCACACAUUGAAAUAUUAUCAAAUAUUAUUUUGAUAUAUUGACUUAAAUAAAUUAUUAAGUUUAAGUUUACCGGCUAAUUUUUUUUUGCAUGCAGUUACUGAAAAUUUUCAAGUUGCAUGCAUGGUUCACAUUCCGUUUCUUUUGGAUUUCCUGCAAGCAUGAUCAGACAACCAGAGGUCAAGAAGUUGGGCUGGACUUGGAGCUAGUCACAGCCCGUCAAAGCCAGUGAAGAACGGAGCCCAGGGAGCAAGGCUGGCUGUGCCAGGCCCCCAGAUGCACCCAGUCUGAAGAGGGCCAGGAAUGGGGAAGAAUCAGCAAAUGCAAUAAUCAGAAAAGGGGCCUCCGGUGCACCUUACCACACUAUGCUGUUUCAGCUCCAUGACAGACAUAUGGGGUACAUAAUCUAACCUCCAUUUGAUGUCUGAGGAAACGGAGGCUCUCAGAGGCUGCCACAGUCACAUGGCUCACAGAAACACCUGGAACCCAUGGAGAGAUAAAGACGCCUGCAAAGUUACAAGCAACUGGGCCAGAGGCAUCUGUGUAAAUGAUGAGACUACACCCAAGAGCCUUCUGGAAACCUUUAGCAUUACCAUCUGUGUGCUGGUCCCGGCCAUCAGCUCAGCAACUCGCCCUUUCUGAGAUUUCGACCACAAGGAAGUGUCCAUGGGAGGCACUGGGAAGAGGGUGGACACUGGCUGGUGGCCAGGGGGACCAUGCACCAUCCUGAGAGCUAGGGAGAUGGAGUCAUCUGAUAGCACCCUGGGGACGGUGGUGACAAGGAGCUGAUGGCGCUUUACAGACUGUGACUAGCUGACUUGCUCUAAGCGCGCUACCUACAGCAUGGCAUUCACCUGGGAGCGUGCAGGAAAUGCAGAGCCUCAGGCCCCGCCCCAUGCCUGCUGCACCACAAACUGUGUUUUAACAAGAUUCCUCAGUGAUUAGAUGCACCUGAAGAUCCAAGAACUCCUGACUUAGAGCAUCUGUUCCCACCUGCUCCUUUCAUAAGCAAGCAAACCGAAACUCAGACAAGGCCAAUGACUUGUCCAAAGUCACACAGCAAGUUGGCAGCCAAGCCAGGCCCAGAACUCUGCUUUGUUUGUAUAAAGUCUAACAAAGAGCAAAGGACUUUUGCCGCUUCUGCUCACCAGCCCUUCAUACCUCAUUGAGCUGGACAGGCUAUUUGCACUCUAUUCUGGUCAUCUCUUAAGAAGAUAUCAAUCCAGAAAAAAAAAAAAAAAAGCUUCCUUCUAUACCCUGGUAGGCCUUCAAAACCACGUGCACUGAUGGGUAACUGGAUCAGACCCUAUGCUGGCUCUAUUCUUGGACAAGACCUCAGUCUCCCCAUUAUUACAAAGUAACAAGUGGCCUCCGCAGAGCCUGACUGCUGUCUGAGCUCCCCGAUGAAAGGCCCAUAGAAAGACAAAGUCCUAUUAUGUUUCCUUGUGUUUAAUUGUGGCUGCCUUGCUUUGCCUGCCUGCAGACAUCCCAUUAAGUAGGAAAGUAUGAAAAUGACGGGCCGCCAGGCUGAGAGACUGGCAGUUAUUAGAGGCUGGGCUCCUCUGACUUCCUGGCAGAGAGGCGUAACUGGCUUCAUAAAUUCCUCCUGGCAGAGCGGUGACGUCUCUGUGGCCGCUGCUUCACUUUGCUGAGAGCGCCACUGGGGGCUUCGUCCUUCGCUCAGCUCGGAGUGGAAACCAAGUAUCAACACAGGUGCAGGAGGGGAGGGCAGGGAGUAAGUGGUUGGCUCCCCGGUGCUGGGCGAGAGCUGGCCCCUACACUCUGCCAUUGUGAGGGGAUGGUGUCGUUCUGGCACCUUCCCUCCUGAGUCAUGGGUCCCUAUCCCCACCAAGAUGCAUGCCCAGUGACUCUGUUGCUGAGAAAGGCUAAUAGCUCAUGCUAUCCACUGGGGAGUUGUAGGGCCAAUAUCAACAUCACGUUCUUGUGCUCAAGCUCCCGUGAUCUCGUAUCUUAGAAUAGUAAGAAAUUAUUCUCCCUCAUUCCGGAUGCCAUAAACCCAGAAUCGUUGGCCUGGUUGGCUCUAUCUUUUCAUACAUAUUUCUUACAGUUUUCACUGGCUUUCCGAUCCCUUACAUGGGGCAGCAGAGGUCUUAUUAUUACCUCCGUCUCCACGCAGUCUCUUCUGUGGCUCAGAUCUCCAUCCACCUUUCUCUUAGGAAUAUAUUUGAUGUGGGCUGUGGUUCAGGAAGACCUCUCUCCCAAAUGCACCAUACUCACAAACUCUAGUGGUAAGGAUAUUGAUAUUUGGCAGGGAUACUACUCAACCCACUAAAAAUGUCCCCCGAAGACUAUGCCCUUUGGCAGCUUCUUCCUCCCAGAGAUGUCUUAAGGCGUGUAUGGUGUGGCCUGGAGGAAAGCCGUUUGUCUCAGGACCAUAGCAAGCACCUCAAGAUCCAGCCUUGCCACUAAGU